rnacentral:rRNA from 1 species
UGCGUAGGCGGGCUAAUAAGUCAGUGGUGAAAUCUCUCGGCUCAACCGGGAAACUGCCAGUGAUACUGUUAGUCUUGAGUUCGGUUGAGGUAGGCGGAAUGUGUAAUGUAGCGGUGAAAUGCUUAGAUAUUACACAGAACACCAAUUGCGUAGGCAGCUUACUAGACCGACACUGACGCUGAGGCACGAAAGCGUGGGGAGCGAACAGGAUUAGAUACCCUGGUAGUCC